AGUGAACGCUGGCGGUAGGCCUAACACAUGCAAGUCGAACGGCAGCACAGUAAGAGCUUGCUCUUACGGGUGGCGAGUGGCGGACGGGUGAGGAAUACAUCGGAAUCUACUUUUUCGUGGGGGAUAACGUAGGGAAACUUACGCUAAUACCGCAUACGACCUACGGGUGAAAGCAGGGGAUCUUCGGACCUUGCGCGAUUGAAUGAGCCGAUGUCGGAUUAGCUAGUUGGCGGGGUAAAGGCCCACCAAGGCGACGAUCCGUAGCUGGUCUGAGAGGAUGAUCAGCCACACUGGAACUGAGACACGGUCCAGACUCCUACGGGAGGCAGCAGUGGGGAAUAUUGGACAAUGGGCGCAAGCCUGAUCCAGCCAUACCGCGUGGGUGAAGAAGGCCUUCGGGUUGCAAAGCCCUUUUGUUGGGAAAGAAAAGCAGCAGGUUAAUACCCCGCUGUUCUGACGGUACCCAAAGAAUAAGCACCGGCUAACUUCG
rnacentral:rRNA from 1 species